GAUGAACGCUAGCUACAGGCUUAACACAUGCAAGUCGAGGGGCAGCGGGAUUGUAGCAAUACAAUUGCCGGCGACCGGCGCACGGGUGAGUAACACGUAUCCAACCUUCCGGUUACUCGGGGAUAGCCUUUCGAAAGAAAGAUUAAUACCCGAUAGUAUAAGAUUUCCGCAUGGUUUGUUUAUUAAAGAUUCAUCGGUAACCGAUGGGGAUGCGUUCCAUUAGAUGGUAGGCGGGGUAACGGCCCACCUAGUCGACGAUGGAUAGGGGUUCUGAGAGGAAGGUCCCCCACAUUGGAACUGAGACACGGUCCAAACUCCUACGGGAGGCAGCAGUGAGGAAUAUUGGUCAAUGGGCGAGAGCCUGAACCAGCCAAGUAGCGUGAAGGAUGACUGCCCUAUGGGUUGUAAACUUCUUUUAUACGGGAAUAACACGCGGCACGUGUGCCGCUCUGCAUGUACCGUAUGAAUAAGCAUCGGCUAACUCCGUGCCAGCAGCCGCGGUAAUACGGAGGAUGCGAGCGUUAUCCGGAUUUAUUGGGUUUAAAGGGAGCGCAGGCCGCCUUUUAGCGUGCCGUGAAAUGCCGUGGCUCAACCAUGGCACUGCGGCGCGAACUGGAGGGCUUGAGUGCGCGGAAGGCAGGCGGAACUCGUGGCGUAGCGGUGAAAUGCUUAGAUAUCACGAAGAACUCCGAUUGCGAAGGCAGCCUGCCGCAGCGCAACUGACGCUGAGGCUCGAAAGCGCGGGUAUCGAACAGGAUUAGAUACCCUGGUAGUCCGCGCGGUAAACGAUGGAUGCCCGCCGUGGGGGAGUUAUUUUCCGCGGCCAAGCGAAAGCGUUAAGCAUCCCACCUGGGGAGUACGCCGGCAACGGUGAAACUCAAAGGAAUUGACGGGGGCCCGCACAAGCGGAGGAACAUGUGGUUUAAUUCGAUGAUACGCGAGGAACCUUACCCGGGCUUGAAUUGCAGGAGAACGAUCCAGAGAUGGUGAGGCCCUUCGGGGCUCCUGUGAAGGUACUGCAUGGUUGUCGUCAGCUCGUGCCGUGAGGUGUCGGCUCAAGUGCCAUAACGAGCGCAACCCCCGCCCGCAGUUGCCAUCGGGUGAUGCCGGGCACUCUGCGGGGACUGCCGCCGCAAGGUGCGAGGAAGGCGGGGACGACGUCAAAUCAGCACGGCCCUUACGUCCGGGGCUACACACGUGUUACAAUGGGGUGUACAGAGUGUUGUGCCCGCGCAAGCGGGUUCGAAUCAUGAAAGCACCCCUCAGUUCGGACUGGGGUCUGCAACCCGACCCCACGAAGCUGGAUUCGCUAGUAAUCGCGCAUCAGCCAUGGCGCGGUGAAUACGUUCCCGGGCCUUGUACACACCGCCCGUCAAGCCAUGAAAGCCGGGGGCGCCUGAAGUCCGUGACCGCGAGGGUCGGCCUAGGGCGAGACCGGUGAUUGGGGCUA
rnacentral:rRNA from 1 species